rnacentral:rRNA from 1 species
GACGAACGCUGGCGGCGUGCUUAACACAUGCAAGUGGAGCGACGAACCAGGCUUCGGCCUGGGGCAAAGCCGCGAACGGGUGAGUAACACGUGGGUAACCUGCCCCGACGACCGGGACAACUCGAGGAAACUCGAGCUAAUACCGGAUGUGCUCCCCUCGCAUCAGCGAGGGUGAGGAAAGGAAGCUUCGGCCUCCGCAUCGGGAUGGGCCCGCGGCCCAUUAGCUUGUUGGUGAGGUAACGGCUCACCAAGGCUUCGAUGGGUAGCUGGUCUGAGAGGACGAUCAGCCACACUGGGACUGAGACACGGCCCAGACUCCUACGGGAGGCAGCAGUGGGGAAUCUUGCGCAAUGCGCGAAAGCGUGACGCAGCAACGCCGC